AGUGUAGGUGGCCAGGCAAGUCAGAAGUGAAAGCCCGGGGCUCAACCCCGGGACUGCUUUUGAAACUGCAGGGCUAGAGUGCAGGAGGGGCAAGUGGAAUUCCUAGUGUAGCGGUGAAAUGCGUAGAUAUUACUUAGAACACCAAUUGCGAAGGCAGGUUACCAAGAUAUAACUGACGCUGAGGGACGAAAGCGUGGGGAGCGAACA
rnacentral:rRNA from 1 species